rnacentral:rRNA from 1 species
GAUCCUGGCUUAGGACGAACGCUGGCGGCGUGCCUAAUACAUGCAAGUCGAACGGUCUUUCUAUGGAAGCUUGCUUCCACUGAGAAGAUAGUGGCGAACGGGUGAGUAACACGUGGGUAACCUGCCCAUAAGAGGGGGGAUAACAUCCGGAAACGGGUGCUAAUACCGCAUAGUUUUCUUGAUCGCAUGAUCGGGAAAGGAAAGACGGCCCUUGUGCUGUCGCUUAUGGAUGGACCCGCGGCGUAUUAGUUAGUUGGUGAGGUAACGGCUCACCAAGACGAUGAUACGUAGCCGACCUGAGAGGGUGAUCGGCCACAUUGGGACUGAGACACGGCCCAAACUCCUACGGGAGGCAGCAGUAGGGAAUCUUCCGCAAUGGACGAAAGUCUGACGGAGCAACGCCGCGUGAGUGAAAAGUAAGGUUUUCGGAUACGUAAAACUCUGUUGUCAGAGAAGAACAAGUUGGAGAGUAACUGCUCCAGCCUUGACGGUAUCUGACCAAGAAAGCCACGGCUAACUACGUGCCAGCCGCCGC